UACAGCACAUAUUUUUUCUAAUUUUCUAACACUCCCCCUCAAGCUGGUUUGAAGAUAUCCUCCAUAGCCAGCUUGCCAACUAGAAAAUUGAACUGUUUUGUGUGUAGUCCUUUGGUAAAGACAUCAGCCACUUGUUCUCCAGUAGGAAUGUGCUCCAUAUGAACCAAUCCAUUAUCUAUCUUCUCCUUGAUGAAAUGCUUGUCAAUCUCCACAUGUUUUGUGCGGUCAUGAAGGACUGGAUUGUGUGCUAUUGAGAUUGUUGCCUUGUUGUCACAGUACAACUUCAUAGGAGAUGAUUUUGUCGCUUUUAACUCUUCCAACAGCCUCAUAAUCCACAUGAUCUCACAAAUACCAUGGGCUACAGCUCUAAAUUCAGCCUCAGCACUGCUCCUAGCUACCACAUUCUGUUUCUUGCUUCUCCAUGUAACCAAAUUACCACCUACAAAUGAACA
rnacentral:lncRNA from 1 species